AGCACUAUAUUUAAACUACGGAUGGGAAUUUUCCCCAUUCUUGGUUACGCUGUAGUGCAAAAAGAAUUCCUGACUCUGUUUUGAACAGCUGAUUUGUGCCACUCUGCUGAUUCUUUGUAGAGUUAAGGAACAGAA
ensembl:snoRNA